ensembl:lncRNA novel transcript
UGAGGAAAUAUGAGAGCCCCAGGAACUGAAAAGGCCUGUGAGAGACUCUGAGCUUCCUGGGAACAGGAUGAUAGUUAAAAAAAAAAAUGUUGGCCAGGCGCAGUGAUGGAUGCAUAUGAUCCCAGCACUUUGGGAGGCCGAGGUGGGCAGAUUGCUUGAGUUCAGGAGUUCAAGACCAGCCUGGCAACAUGGUGAAAUCCUGUGUCUACAAAAAAUGCAAAAAUUAGCUGGACAUGAUGGCAUGUGCCUUUGGUUCCAGCUACUUAGGAGGCUGAGGUAGGAGGAUGGCUUGAGCCCAGGAGGCGGAGGUUGCAGUGAGCCAAAAUCGUGCCACCGCACUCUAGCCUGGGCAACAGAGCCAGACCAUAUCUC